UUGUUGUCAUAUUUUUCGGGC
rnacentral:piRNA from 1 species